UACGUAGGGGGCUAGCGUUGUCCGGAAUCAUUGGGCGUAAAGCGCGUGUAGGCGGUCCGGUAAGUCCGCUGUGAAAGCCAGGGGCUCAACCCUUGGAUGCCGGUGGAUACUGUCGGGCUUGAGUACGGAAGAGGCGAGUGGAAUUCCCGGUGUAGCGGUGAAAUGCGCAGAUAUCGGGAAGGAACACCAAUGGCGAAGGCAGCUCGCUGGGACGUUACUGACGCUGAGACGGCGAAAGCGUGGGGAGCAAACAGG
rnacentral:rRNA from 1 species